rnacentral:rRNA from 1 species
AAGUCGUAACAAGGUUUCCGUAGGUGAACCUGCGGAAGGAUCAUUAUUGAGACAGGGUCUUUUGGGCCCGACCUCCAACCCUUUGUCUACCAGACCUCUUGUUGCUUCGGCGGACCCGUCUCCCCCUAGGAAUAGGGGGCGACCGCCGGAGGGGUUAACCCUCUGGCCCGUGUCCGUCGAUGGCCAUUUAUAAAUUCUUGAUCAAUCAUGUCCUCUGAAUUAAACAAAAAAUAACCAAAAACUUUCAACAACGGAUCUCUUGGUUCUGGCAUCGAUGAAGAACGCAGCGAAAUGCGAUAAGUAAUGCGAAUUGCAGAAUCCGUGAGUCAUCGAAUCUUUGAACGCACAUUGCGCCCUUUGGUAUUCCGAAGGGCAUGCCUGUUCGAGUGUCAUUAUCACCCCUCAAGCCCCCGGCUUGGUGUUGGAUUUGGUCUCGUCGACCAGUCUCAAAGAUAAUGACGCCGCCCCGGAGGGACGCGGUACGAGGAGCUUGCUUGUUAAGCAUGUAUCGACGAAGACUCUGUGGACGGUGGUCUUUAACCUAAAUUUUUUUAAGUGUUGACCUCGGAUCAGGUAGGAAUACCCGCUGAACUUAAGCAUAUCAAUAAGCGGAGGAAAAGAAACCAACAGGGAUUGCCUCAGUAACGGCGAGUGAAGCGGCAAAAGCUCAAAUUUGAAAUCUGACUUCUUGGAGUCCGAGUUGUAAUUUGUAGAGGAUGUUUCGGGUACCGCACGGCUUAAAUUUCUUGGAACAGAAUGUCAGAGAGGGUGAGAGUCCCGUCUGGAGUCGCGGUAGGGCCCAUGUGAAACUCCUUCGACGAGUCGAGUUGUUUGGGAAUGCAGCUCAAAAUGGGUGGUAAAUUUCAUCUAAAGCUAAAUAUUGGCCAGAGACCGAUAGCGCACAAGUAGAGUGAUCGAAAGAUGAAAAGCACUUUGAAAAGAGAGUUAAACAGUAUGUGAAAUUGUUGAAAGGGAAGCGCUGGCAAUCAGACUUGUGUGCGGUGGUUCCCCCUCGCUUCUGCGUGGGUUACGCCCCGUAUCCAGGCCAACAUCGGUUUGGGCGGUCGGUUAAAGGCUUUGGGAAUGUAUCUUCCUCCGGGAAGACUUAUAGCCCAUUGUGUCAUGCGACCUGCCCGGACCGAGGAACGCGCUUCGGCUCGGAUGUUGGCGUAAUGGUUGUCAGCGACC